CUGGAACAUGAUCUUCGCAGUAAGAUUAUACACUUCCCCAUAUUGAAAUUGGGAAGAAGAAAUAUGGAGAGCAGUUCAAGGCAUAAGGGGCUCUGGGGAACAACAUAAUUUUGCUUUAAUUCUCCAGCUUGUUUUCAGUAAGGGUGGAAGGAGAAAGAGAGGAAGUAUAGAAUUUACACACUUCAGAUCGUACUGCCAAGAAAAGAUAGAAAGCUUGUUGUAACAACCCGUAGACACUGUUAGGAGAACUAAGGAGACCCCUGGUGUAGCAACUAUUUUCCUAAGGGAGACGGAUUGUGAGGCAGGAAGGUGUGAAAAGAGGAAGUCAUUUAUAUAAUUUUGGGGUUUCUGCUGAGAAAACCUGAGUGAACUCACUUCAGAUGCAUUUGGAAUAUUUUCAUAACAAAUAUUUGAUUUUGGCUGCUCCAGGAACUACUGGAAGCAGGAAACAAUGGUAUAAUUGGAAUACACCACCACACUGACUCAUUACUCCUCUUGGUUACUAGGAGGCAUCAGAGAUACAUGUUUUGUUGAUUUUAGUUAUAAAAAUGAGAUAAUCUUGAAUAUGAAUAAAUUUGCUUCCCUGUUCAAGGAGCUACCUCUUGGAUAAAAUAGCUAUUUAAUGAAACUUCUUUAGAGAAUAACACGAUACUCCCAACAAGAGUAUUUUAGACACAAGAAUGAUGUUGAAUUCUAACUAACUCCUAAAAUGGUCAUUUUCAAUGAAUAUUGCAGUGAUUUCUGAAUGAAAAACUGAUUAAUAUCUAAUGCUUGUAGCCAUUUGACUUUGUAGAAGUAUGUCAAAGUUGAUAAUUGAUGAUAUUUUUAUUGAGGCUAAUAUAUUAUCCUUUGGUGCCAAGAGUGGAUGAAGAAACUUUCGGAAGCCUAAACUAGUGGAUACAUGAAACUUAGGCAAAUUAUUACACUACAUGGGUGUGAGAGAUAAUGAAUAUUAUCUACUAGGUAUCAGCAAACAGAUAUCCAAGGUGAUCAAUUCAGGACACUUCCACUGAAGAUAUGUUAAGUGUACGUUCAGCUGGAGUGUCAUCGUAAUUGUGUGCCUUCUCAGUUAUUGGGCAAGUUAAAGAGCAUGAUGAAUGUUUGUAGUAUAAUGGUGUAAAUCCUUUUGAUUUGUUGCAUGAAAGACAUGUGGGAUCAUGUAGCACCUGUUUUGACAUUGAUUCUCACGUGUAUGAGUUGCUCCUCUGUUUUUAGAUCACAUUUGUCCUCAUCACUCAGCAUAUCCACAUUGAUAUUGACACGGUUUUAUUUUGGGUUUCGACACAUGACAAAUCAUACCAUGUUUGAAAUUGUAAGGGUAUAUUUCAUGGAGCCUGUGUUCCCUUUUUUCAGUGUACUUCUGUCACCUUCUGGUCCCCAGAGACAAAGUAGAAGCCAUCAAAGCCUCCACUAAUACAGGCAGGAGGACAGAGGUUGAUGCUAACACCGUGUGAAUGUAUGGAUAACUUUAUCAUAUUUACAUGUGAGUGAUUAUGUAUCCCUUUUGCUUUUCAGUGUCUUCUCGGAAAAAACAGCCUUGAAGGCUACAAGUGAUGAGAAAGAUUCUUUUUCAAAUAUAACC
rnacentral:lncRNA from 10 species